UAGACAAAGUAAAGGUUUGUGGGGAGCCAGACUUUUUCUCAUCUGUGCAUAGAACACGUGGUCUAUGAACAUAACAAGCCCUGCUUCCUGUCUGGGGGAGUCACACAGGAACCCAGGGACUAUGUAUAUGAGCUGCCAGACACUCCAAGACACUGAACGCUCAGCCUGAGGCACAACAAAGCACACUUGUACAGGGGAAUCCGUGCCACAUGCCGCUCUCCAGCCUGCUCUGGCUCUUCCUGGCCUCCGUCUUCUCUGGAUCCGGUGUGACCCAGGAAGUUACUCAAGACCAGCCAGCUGUGUUCAGUCAAGUGGGAGAGGCAGUCACCCUAAACUGUCGCUAUGAAAUAGGUUGGACCUGGAUCUACUACAAUCUUUUUUGGUAUAAACAGCCUCCCAGUGGAGAGAUGACUUUCCUUAUUCAUCAGUAUUCUGAUAGCUCAAAUGCAAGGGAUGGCCGCUACUCCGUAAACUUCCAGAAAGCACAAAAUUUCAUCAGCCUCACCAUUUCAGCCUUACAGCUGGAUGAUUCUGCUACGUACUUCUGUGCUCUCCGAGAUCUCACGGUGCUUGAAGUAAUAGGAAAAGGUGAACAAAAACCCCAGAGCUCAAUAAGAGAGAGCCCCCCUGCUGCAGGACCCAAGCUGAAAUGCACACCUGCAGACCCCAGACAAGAAGUGGUUGUCCUGUGGUUGCUUCAUCUGUGGUCUGGAUAAGAAGAUUUCUUUUUAAAUAAAAAUUCCUUCUAUGUCAUGUGAAGCAGGUGUCCUGAGUAACUUUCUACUAAUACAUUCUCAGUCUUGAAUUUUUGACUUUAAGUCAAUUAUACAGAACACAUGUAAACUUGUCUAAAUUUGAAAGCUUGCCCCAAGAUAAUUUAAAGUGGCAGUAUCACUUAAAUAUGCUCACAUUACAAACCUAGGUCUAGUUAUCUGGAAUCAUCAUAAAAAUCAUUUCCCUAGUUCUUUCAUCUUAGGCUUUGAGUCUUUCUAGGAUGUUUAUGUGGUCUUGUCUCUGAUUGGCUUAAACCAGAUGCAGAGACUUGUUUUCUGGAGCAAAAUAUGCACAGGUCUAGGCUCCAGAGUGUUCUUUUACUGAGGAUAUUUAGUCAGGAUAAAUGGAAAGGAAUCCUUUGUCAGCAUCUUUGCUAAUCCUCUGGCUUCAUCUUGGCCAUGAGUCCAGGCACUGCCAAAGCAACUGUGAACAGUCUGGGGAAGGAAGAGGAUGCAGUCAGGCACCUCAAGGUUCUGUCUGGGGAUGUGUGGAGAGAAUGAACACUCUGUACAGAGAUCAGUUUCUAUGUGUGACCCUGUCUUCCUGAACAGGACUGAGCAGCCCCUGGAGUGUGGAACCUGGUCCUCCAUCUCUGCAGGCUCAGGAAGGAGAGAGCACCAAUUUCACAUGCAAUUUCCCUUCCAGCUCUUUCUGUGUUUUACACUGGUACAGAGGGGGACCUGCUCAAAGCCCCAAGAACCUCUUUGUAAUGACUUUAAAUGGGGGCGGGAAGGAGGAAAGAUGAGCCUGAGUCUGUCUGAAUACAAAGGAGUGUUACAGCUGCAUGUGCAUCACAGGAUCCCAGCCUGAAGACUCAGCCAUUGACCUUUAUGCCUCCACUCAGGGCUUCCCAGGCACCUGCAGCCCCACCCAGACCCCUGCCUGGAGCUGCUCUGGUGCCAGCUGAUGCAGAGCCAUGUGUGGGGUGGAAAAGCAGAUUCCAUGCAUCAAAAUGUCUUCAAUAAUCAGAAGUUCCCGUUAGGGCACAGCUGAAAUAAAUCCGACCAAUAUCCAUGAGGACAUUGGUUUGAUCCCUGGCCUC